UCUAACCUUACUUUACUAACCUUAUUUGUAACGUUUACUAUUGUAUUAAAUAUUAUUCUAACCUUACUUUACUAACCUCAAAUACUAAAAUCUGAAUGACAAUUAAUUCUCAAUGUCAACUAAAAUAAAAUAACAAAUGGAAAUUAAUUGACUAAAUAGUUGGUUAUGAAUUAGAAGAGCAUUGCAGUAUUAGCAGGGGCAGCAAUGUCGAUAAACAACUUCAACAAUGCGUACGACAAUCAUAAAGAACGACACCGCAUUCGCACUCACCUAUAGUUCCAAGCUGAAAAGCCUGAACACACCGCAGUUUCCGGCGAAUGUGCCGCUUAAAGUUGACAGACAUCUUUUUUACACGAUCGGGUUAGGGAUUAACUCGUGUCCGAGUUGCUUGAACGGAGCCAAACUCACUGCUUCGUUGAAUAACAUAAACUUUGUCAUGCCUUAAACUGGUCUGCUUCAAGCUCAUUACUUCAACAUCAAUGGAGUUUUUACUACAGAUUUUCCUGAUAACCCGCCGACGCCGUUUAAUUACACGGGUGCACCUCUGACGGCGAAUCUUGGAACGAAAUUAGGAACCAGACUGAGUAAAAUUGCGUAUAAUUCAACUGUGGAACUUGUAUUACAAGAUACGAAUCUUUUAACCGUUGAAUCGCAUCCUUUUCAUUUGCAUGGUUAUAAUUUCUUUGUUGUCGGAAUUGGAAUCGGAAACUUUGAUCGGAAUAAAGAUGCUGUGAUAUUUAACUUGGUUGAUCCUCCUGAAAGAAAUACAGUUGGUGUUCCUACUGGGGGAUGGACUGCCAUUAGGUUCAGGACAAAUAAUCCAAGGGUAUGGUUCAUGCACUGUCAUUUGGAGUUGCAUACAGGUUGGGGUCUGAAAACAGCAUUUGUUGUUGAGAAUGGAAAAGGACCAGAUCAAUCUAUUUUGCCUCCACCCAAGGAUCUUCCUUCUUGUUAACAGUUCUGAUACCAAACAGAAAAUACAGAAUUUGGAUUUCUUAAAGGAUUUUUUUACCAAUUUAUUGUUCUUUCAGGCAUCAAUUUCUUGAAAAAGUGUGCAGAUAUUAGAUUGGAGGCUGAUGUCUAUCAAAUUGUAACAUUGUAAAAUUCAAAUUCAACUUAUUCAAUAAACUUGCUGGCCAACAAUGGCAACAUGAUAUUACUUUUGUA